rnacentral:rRNA from 1 species
GAUGGCGACCGGCGCACGGUGAGUAACACGUAUCCAACCUGCCGAUGACUCGGGGAUAGCCUUUCGAAAGAAAGAUUAAUACCCGAUGGCAUAGUUCUUCCGCAUGGUAGAACUAUUAAAGAAUUUCGGUCAUCGAUGGGGAGUGCGUUCCAUUAGGUUGUUGGCGGGGUAACGGCCCACCAAGCCUUCGAUGGAUAGGGGUUCUGAGAGGAAGGUCCCCCCACAUUGGAACUGAGACACGGUCCAAACUCCUACGGGAGGCAGCAUG